UACGGGGGGGGGCAAGCGUUGUUCGGAAUUACUGGGCGUAAAGGGUGCGUAGGCGGCUUUCUAAGUUGGAUGUGGAAACUCUGGGCUCAACCCAGAGACUGCAUCCAAAACUGGAGAGCUUGGGUUCUGGAGGGGAAAGGCGGAAUUCCUGGUGUAGCGGUGAAAUGCGUAGAUAUCAGGAGGAACACCGGUGGCGAAGGCGGCUUUCUGGACAGAUACCGACGCUGAGGCACGAAAGCUAGGGGAGCAAACAGG
rnacentral:rRNA from 1 species